UACAGAGGUCUCAAGCGUUGUUCGGAUUCAUUGGGCGUAAAGGGUGCGUAGGCGGCGCGGUAAGUCGGGUGUGAAAUCUCGGAGCUUAACUUCGAAACUGCAUUCGAUACUGCCGUGCUUGAGGACUGGAGAGGAGACUGGAAUUUACGGUGUAGCGGUGAAAUGCGUAGAUAUCGUAAGGAAGACCAGUGGCGGAAGGCGGGUCUCUGGACAGUUCCUG
rnacentral:rRNA from 1 species